rnacentral:rRNA from 1 species
AGUGAACGCUGGCGGUAGGCCUAACACAUGCAAGUCGAACGGCAGCACAGUAAGAGCUUGCUCUUACGGGUGGCGAGUGGCGUACGGGUGAGGAAUACAUCGGAAUCUACUUUUUCGUGGGGGAUAACGUAGGGAAACUUACGCUAAUACCGCAUACGCCCUACGGGUGAAAGCAGGGGAUCUUCGGACCUUGCGCGAUUGAAUGAGCCGAUGUCGGAUUAGCUAGUUGGCGGGGUAAAGGCCCACCAAGGCGACGAUCCGUAGCUGGUCUGAGAGGAUGAUCAGCCACACUGGAACUGAGACACGGUCCAGACUCCUACGGGAGGCAGCAGUGGGGAAUAUUGGACAAUGGGCGCAAGCCUGAUCCAGCCAUACCGCGUGGGUGAAGAAGGCCUUCGGGUUGUAAAGCCCUUUUGUUGGGAAAGAAAAGCAGCAGGUUAAUACCCCGCUGUUCUGACGGUACCCAAAGAAUAAGCACCGGCUAACUUCGUG